CAAUUAAGAGAAUUCAAAAAAUAAAUUUCUUCUGUCAAAGGGAUACACAAUUCAUAUUCAUGCAAAAAAAAAAUAAAAAAAAUUAGUAUCCUAUUUACAUAGUACAUUUUUCAACAAAGGGGUUCACUCACCCCUCUGCCUCCGUACCAUUUUUUUUCUUCCCCCCUCCCCCUUUUUGUUUUUUUAAUUCAACCACUAAGAAGACUUAGUGGGUAUUUAUUUAGGAAUAAUAAAAAAAAGCAAUCCAUCAGCUGUCUUAAAACAUAAAAAAAAAAAAACAACAAAAUUCAGCUAACUGUCGACCAACAAAAAACACCAAAGGAAAAUUAGGAAAGUUCUCUAUCAGUGGUUCUUCGAUGUAACGCCGGCGACGCCUAAUCGGACUUCACCCAAGUGCAAAUGCAAGCUUCUAUGCUUUGGAUUCACUUUUUCGCAUCUCAAACUCUCACCAGAUGCGUGAAAACCAUUGCCAUGGAGUUGAAUCUCUGAGAAGGCCAAAUCUGUCCUUUCAGGGAUAUACUGCUGCUCUACAUGUUCCUCAGGUGUUUCAGUACUCUCCAUCAUAUCCCUUUCACCCAUGGCCUUGUUGAAGAUACAGUCUCUUCAGAAUCUUCAAUCUCUUCAUGAUUAUUCAGCAUAUCAUUAUCCACUUGGUCGGUUUGUCCUGCUCCAUCCAGCUGCUGCUGACUAUCCUCUUGUAUACCUGUUAUUAAUUGCUCUGCAUUCUGAUUCUUUCCAACAUUUACUUCUGUCAUCAAUUCAUGAGAAGUUGCAUUUGGAUCCUCAUCAUCUGGUGGUUUUUCUUCAGUUAAUAAAGCAUCAAACUUGUUGUGAGUAUGAAUCUGAUUAUGAGCUUUAGACUUGGUUUCCUGAUCUUUCUUCUCUUUCUCCCCCUUCUCUCUGUCUCAUUACCCUUCUGAUCCUUUUUUGGAUUCCAAUUUUGUACAUUGCCAACCACGUUCCCACUUGUUAACACCUUGAGAGGAUACUUAUGGGUAUUUCUAUGAUUGUGAUUUUCCUUCUUGCUUGCUGGUUUUGGAUCUGUUGUCGGUUGCUGAAUGCUUUGUUCCCUUUGACCAAAAAUAAAACAACAAAUAAUACAUAUCUUUAGCGAACUUGCAAACAGAGCAUAGUAUAUAGGGCAAAGGUGCAAAUAUACCCCUCAACUUUGCGAUUUAGAGCAGAUAUACCUCUCGUUACAAAAGCGGUGUAUAUAUACCCCUGCUGUUACAAAAUGGUGCAAAUAUACCCCUGUUAUUCCAAAAUGAUGCAAAUAUACCCUUUUUGCUGACGGGAUUUUAAAAAAAAAUCAUUUAGGUUGUUUUUUAAUUAAAAAAAAUGUUACAUGACUUUAAAAAAAAAAGUCUACCAAUUUUUUUUAGUAGACAUAUUUUUCUGAAGCCACAUGGUAAUUCUUUUUCCUGGUAUGUCGGGUCUGGUUCGUUUGAAAUAAUAUCUCUGUGACUUUAAAAAAAUAAGUCUACCCACAUUUUUAGACAAACCAGACCCGACCCAUCAGAAAAAAAAAAUACUAUGUGGCUUUAGAAAAGUAUGUUUACUAAAAAAAAUGGGUAGACUUUUUUCUAAAGUCACAUGGCAUUUUUUUUAAUUAAAAAAAUAAUCUAAAUGAUUCUUUUUUUAAAAUCCCGUCAGCGAAAAAGGUAUAUUUGCACUAUUUUGUAACGGCAGGGGUAUAUAUAUACCACUUUUGUAACGAGGGUAUAUCUGCUCUAAAUCGCAAAGUUGAGGGGUAUAUUUACAACUUUGCCCUAGUAUAUAUUUCUUUGCCAUAUAAGUACUGUAUGACUUAAACAACUAUUUGCAUUACUGAAAUGCCUACUCCGCAACGACAAGCAUGUUCUCUUCGAACGAAGAGCACCGGAUGCAUUUUGUAGGUUUUUGUUCAACAUCUCCUCAACCUUGAUAAAUGGUAAUAACUGUAAGGGAACUAUCAAAUAAUACAAGGAGCAAAAAGAAGUACUAUCUAAACAAAGAAGAGAUACAAUAGUGACGCAUAACUCAAUCUAAGAAAGUCUUUUACUAUCAACUUGUAGUAAAUAUAGCAGUAAUUAGCGCCCUCAAAUUUUCAUUUUUCCUGUACCUUGAUAAUGAAUGAUGGUCAACACCAUGGUUUAUUAUCUCAACCAGAUAAGCAAUAUCAGUUGCUAUCCAAAAUAAGACUAUCAAAAGUAAGACUAUGUUAUGACACGCUCCGUAGAGAAAAGUCUGAGUCCGGAGCCAAAAUGGCAUAUUUUUACAGCAAUUACACCAAAAUAGGCUGUCUUUUUUUUUUUAUACCCAAAUGGGUAUUUCGUUGAUCAUUCAAAAUACCCCAGUUACUG